CCCACCUGGGGGGACGUUCGCCCGAAUGAACUCCUCGGAAUUGACGGGGGCCCGCCCAACCGGUGGAGCAUGUGGUUUAUUUCUUUGAUACGCGAGGAACCUUACCAGGGCUUAUUUGUAAAUUGACAGGUUUACAGAUAGACUUUCCUUCCGUCAAUUUACAAGGAAGCUGCAUGGUUGUCGUCAGCUCSUGCCCUGAGGUGUCAGGUUAAGUCCUAUAACCAGCGCAACCCCUAUUGUUAGUUGCCAGCUGGCUCAAGCCGGGAACUCUAACAAGACUGCCGGCUGCAAACCGAGAAGAAGGUGGAGAUGACGUCAAAUCAUCACGGCCCUUACGUCCUGGGCUACGCGCUUGCUACAUGGCCAAUGCAGAAAGCAGCUUCCCGGCAACUGGAUGCGAAUCUCAA
rnacentral:rRNA from 1 species